GCCCGCCUAGCUCAAUCGGAUAGAGCGUCAGACUCUUACUGACAGGCGGGUUCACCACCUCUGCGGUGAUCUGAAGGCUGCGAGUUCGACCCUCGCGGUGGGCU
rnacentral:tRNA from 1 species